ACCCGGAAUUUAAACCACCGCUUUACCUUCCCAGCGGCACGCCCUCGCAGAGGCUGAGGAAAGAAGGCGUGUCCACACGGCUGGCCGGCCCUCCGCGCGUGCUCUCGCGAUACGCCCAACUCUCGCGCUACUUCCUCGUUUCCGGCAGCCUUAGCGCACAGCGGGGAAAACCUCUCCCUCCGCCUGUGCGGACUCCGCGGGAAGAUGGCGGCGCCCGAGCAGCCGCUGCCCAGAGGCGGCCCGAGCUCCUCCUCGCUGUCUCCGUCCCGAGGCGACCGAACCCUCCUAGUCAGGCACCUACCGGCCGAGCUGACCGCCGAGGAGAAAGAGGAUCUGCUGAAGUACUUCGGGGCGCAGUCGGUGCGCGUGCUGUCGGACAAGGGGCGGCUGAAACAUACAGCAUUUGCUACUUUCCCCAAUGAAAAAGCAGCAAUAAAGGCAUUGACAAGGCUCCAUCAGUUGAAACUUCUAGGUCAUACCUUAGUUGUUGAAUUUGCAAAAGAGCAAGAUGGAGUUCAUUCCCCAUGUCCCACUGCAAGCACAGACAGGAAGAGAAGGUCUGAUGACAUUAUGGAAGAUGAUAAGAAAGAGCUUGAUUUUUUAACAGUAGAUAAUGGAAUUGCACCAAACCAUGGGCUGACUUUUCCUCUAAAUUCAUGCCUCAAAUAUAUGUACCCACCACCUUCAAGCACAAUCCUAGCAAAUAUAGUAAACGCUCUUGCAAGUGUGCCCAAGUUCUAUGUACAGGUACUUCAUCUUAUGAAUAAAAUGAAUUUGCCAACUCCAUUUGGACCAAUCACUGCACGACCACCUAUGUAUGAAGACUAUAUGCCUUUGCAUGCACCGCUUCCCCCAACUUCUCCUCGGCCACCCGAGGAGCCACCCUUGCCUGAGGAGGAUGAGGAAUUAUCUAGUCAAGAAUCAGAGUACGAGAGCAGUGAUGAUGAGGGCCGACAGAGAAUGACCAAACUGAUGGAGCUAGCAAAUCUGCAGCCCAAAAGACCCAAAACAGUAAAGCAGCGCCAAGUGAGGAAAAAGCGAAAAAUAAAAGAUAUGCUGAAUAUCCCUUCAUCUGCAUCACACAGCAAUUCACAUCCUGUGCUAUUACCUUCGGAUGUAUUUGACCAACCACAACCUGUAGGUAAUAAGAAAAUUGAAUUCCAUAUAUCUACCAACAUGGCAACAGCAUUUAAGAAAGAUUUGGAAAAGGAACAAAAUGAUAAGGAAAAAAAUUCUGAUUUACUGGCCACUGAGGUUGAUUCUUCGAAUAUAGGAUUUGGAAAAAUCUUCCCCAAGCCUAAUUUGAACAUCACAGAAGAGAUUAAUGAAGACUCUGAUGAAAUGCCCUCAGAAUGUAUUUCUAGAAGGGAGUUGGAAAAGGGUAGAGUUUCAAGAGAAGAAAUGGGAAAACUUUCAGUUUUCAGAAGUUAUGAUCCUGGCGAACCAAACUGUAGAAUUUAUGUAAAGAAUUUAGCUAGACGUGUUCAAGAAAAGGACCUUAAGUUUAUCUUUGGAAGAUAUGUUGAUUUCUCAUCAGAAGCACAGCGAAUCAUGUUCGACAUACGCCUGAUGAAAGAAGGGCGCAUGAAAGGACAAGCCUUCAUUGGACUUCCAAAUGAAAAGGCAGCAGCAAAAGCCUUAAGAGAAGCUAAUGGCUACAUUCUUUUUGGAAAGCCCAUGGUUGUUCAAUUUGCUCGAUCUGCUAGACCAAAACAGGAUUCUAAAGAAGGGAAAAGAAAAUAAGAUUGUGUAUAGAAGCGCCCUGCGUAAACACUGCUGUAAAACUGUCAUGCAAGUGUAUCCUUUCUUGUCGUAUCCUUUUGUGGGGCAGUGCUCUUUGUGUUUUCUUUUUUCUAGUCAUGCUUUGUCCCUUUUCUGAAAUCCAUUGAUCCAGAUUAAACUGAGAUUUUUUUUUUAAAACAUUCUAGUGAAGUAUUUCUAAAAUUGUGUAGCCGGAGGAAAUAUUUUAUGUGUAUUUUAGAUUAAUUGUUGAAUAUUUUUAUGUCAUCAUUUAGGGGAUAUGCUUUCCAAGGAAAGUUAGUGAAUCAGGUCACUUAGUGUAUACAUUUGUUUAUCACAAAAUAUUGUCUUGUUUCUUCUGUUUGUAUGUUUCCUAAGAAUAACUCAGUGACAGGGUCUUUACUUCAUGCCAUAUCUGAUUUAGGUGUUACCUGCAUAAUAUGUUCUAAACCCUAAUUGGAACAGGACUUUUUUCUUUUAAGCAGACAUGUUGAAAAAUUGAGAUAAUUGGAUUUCUGUGAUUUCACAUCUGAGGUCCAAAGUGUCCUUGAAAGGUCCCUUUUGAAUGUGUCUCCUUCAAGUACUAUCCAUCCAGCUUUGAGGAGGACUAAUUGACCAUCUGAACAAUGGAACUGUGCGUAACUACCUUAAACAUAUGCUUACAGUUUAAAUCAGCUUUUAGGGAUAAAUGUUUUAAUGGACUGUUGCAUAUAUAUAAUAAAUUAUUUUCACCUUGA